UGGGGAAUAUUGCACAAUGGGCGCAAGCCUGAUGCAGCCAUGCCGCGUGUGUGAAGAAGGCCUUCGGGUUGUAAAGCACUUUCAGCGGGGAGGAAGGCGAUAAGGUUAAUAACCUUGUCGAUUGACGUUACCCGCAGAAGAAGCACCGGCUAACUCCGUGCCAGCAGCCGCGGUAAUACGGAGGGUGCAAGCGUUAAUCGGAAUUACUGGGCGUAAAGCGCACGCAGGCGGUCUGUCAAGUCGGAUGUGAAAUCCCCGGGCUUAACCUGGGAACUGCAUUCGAAACUGGCAGGCUAGAGUCUUGUAGAGGGGGGUAGAAUUCCAGGUGUGGCGGUGAAAUGCGUAGAGAUCUGGAGGAAUACCGGUGGCGAAGGCGGCCCCCUGGACAAAGACUGACGCUCAGGUGCGAAAGCGUGGGGAGCAAACAGG
rnacentral:rRNA from 1 species